rnacentral:rRNA from 1 species
AUUGAACGCUGGCGGAAUGCUUUACACAUGCAAGUCGAGCGGCAGCGCGGGGGCAACCCUGGCGGCGAGCGGCGAACGGGUGAGUAAUACAUCGGAACGUGUCCUUAAGUGGGGGAUAGCUCGGCGAAAGCCGGAUUAAUACCGCAUAAGCUCUGAGGAGGAAAGCGGGGGCUCCGUAAGGACCUCGCGCUGUUGGAGCGGCCGAUGUCGGAUUAGCUAGUUGGUGGGGUAAAGGCCCACCAAGGCGACGAUCCGUAGCUGGUCUGAGAGGAUGAUCAGCCACACUGGAACUGAGACACGGUCCAGACUCCUACGGGAGGCAGCAGUGGGGAAUUUUGGGCAAUGGGCGAAAGCCUGACCCAGCAACGCCGCGUGAGGGAGGAAAUCCUUCGGGAUGUAAACCUCACAAGCAAGGGAAGAGAGCUCAGGGGUGAAUACCCCCUGAGUCCGACGGUACCUUGCGUAAGCCACGGCUAACUACGUGCCAGCCGCCGCGGUAAG